CCGUUCCAUAUUUCACAGAACUUUAUGAAAAAGGGUCCCAUUGUCUACUACGCAUGUAACUUUUAAUCAGUAUUUAACUGACCAUAAUUAUGAAUGUUUCACCAUGGAAGAACAUAUUUGCAUAAUUCAUUAAUCAAGGGGAGGUAAUUAUGAGCAAUUUAUAUUUUAAAGAUACUAUAUGCUGGAAUCUAUUUCAAAGUGAAAU
rnacentral:lncRNA from 1 species